CAGUCGGCUUAUGGCCAUGUGGUGUCUAAACAUCUGAAACUGAUUGCUGCCUACGAGGAAGUGCAAAUAAGCGGGAUCUGCAGCUGCCCAAGACAGGGGACCCAAAGGGAGAGAGCAGUGUGGCAAGCAAAAGGCAUGCUGAAGAGGCAGUGAGCCAAGGAAAAUAAAAAGGCAGAGAUGCAGGCCAUGAAGGAGACACAGGAGACAUAGACAAGGAGGGACCCAUCUUAAACUGACAAAUAAUGUAACCAAGCACC
rnacentral:lncRNA from 1 species